CCGGCGCCGCUCACCUGCUUCUGGAUGUCCCGCACGCGCUGCUCGUGCAGGCGCGGAGCGCUGCUGAGCUUGAACACCACCCAGGCGCGCACGUAGUAGUAGAUAUCGAAGAUAAGCGAGAGCGGCAGGAGGAAGAGGCACACGAACACCCAGCGCUGGUGGAUGAGCACGAACUCCAGCCCCUUCACGCGCACCCACAGCAGGAAGAGCAGCGCGCACACAGCCAGCGACACGGCGGGCUCCAUGGUGCGGCGCCGCGCGGGGGCACUUUCCACGAAUUCAUUUGAGUUACACAGCAGUCCUGGGCAGUGGGGAGUGGUGAGCUCCAUUGUAUACACUUGGAAGCAGCCCAGAAAGGUGAAGACCUGUUCGUGAACUCCAGAGGCCAUUGGAAGCGUGGAAGGCUAUGGCUGGCACUCUUCCUCUUUUUCCAGUUCACUGAGGCAGAUGGGAGGACCGGAGGAGAAAGAAUGAAGGAUGGCAUUUCAGCCCGAGUAAACUCCCCAGGCCCGCUCUGUGCCAGGCGGUGUUGCAAGCCUCGGGUAGGGUGGUGAGCAAAGCAGAUGGCCCUGCCC
rnacentral:antisense_RNA from 1 species